AUGUUGGGGCAGUUAGAUGCAUCAAGAACAGAAAGAUUUUGACAUGCAUUAGCUAUCUCACGCAAUGUCUCAUCAGUAACACACGAGCAGGAUGACAUAUCUACUGACGCUAAUAGUGGACAGGCUGUCGCUGCUUGACGAAUUGCAGUGUCAGAAAGCUUAUGGCAGGACUGAAAAUCCAAUUCAAGCAACUGA
rnacentral:rRNA from 1 species